CACCCGGUGGCACGAGGUGUGUGUCUGCUUUUCAUACUUAGUAUUUCUUGAAACCCUCUGAAUGCAGAAAAUGCCCGUUCGACUCGGGUCCGGGUGA